CAAUGCAGAAUUACUUCAUCAAUGCAGAUGGACAUCUGGAAACGGCAUACAUUGGCUAUUUGGAUUCUCUAGACAUCUGUUUAAAACCUGGAACAAUUGUGUUUGAAGAAAUUUCUCCAGGGGAAUUUUCUUUUAAUUCUCAGGCCGGAAAAGGUUAUUUCAAGAUCCUGUACACUGAUUACAAUUACGCAGUUACAUACUCGUGUCGCCAGACAGAUGACAGUGGAAAGUGUGUCAAACAAGUCCGCCAUGUAUCCAUACUAUCACGGAAACCAGCAAUCACCGAAGAGGCGUUACAA